rfam:Monodelphis domestica chromosome 1, whole genome shotgun sequence.
UUCUUUAGCACAGUAGGCAGUGCAUCAGUCUCAAAAGCUGAAGGUCCCAAGUUCCAUUCUUGGAAGGA